CCUACGGGAGGCAGCAGUGAGGAAUAUUGGUCAAUGGACGAGAGUCUGAACCAGCCAAGUAGCGUGAAGGAUGACUGCCCUAUGGGUUGUAAACUUCUUUUAUAUGGGAAUAAAAUGUUCCACGUGUGGGAUUUUGUAUGUACCUUAUGAAUAAGGAUCGGCUAACUCCGUGCCAGCAGCCGCGGUAAUACGGAGGAUCCGAGCGUUAUCCGGAUUUAUUGGGUUUAAAGGGAGCGUAGGUGGAUUGUUAAGUCAGUUGUGAAAGUUUGCGGCUCAACCGUAAAAUUGCAGUUGAAACUGGCAGUCUUGAGUACAGUAGAGGUAGGCGGAAUUCGUGGUGUAGCGGUGAAAUGCUUAGAUAUCACGAAGAACUCCGAUUGCGAAGGCAGUUCACUGGACUGCAACUGACACUGAGGCUCGAAAGUGUGGGUAUCAAACAGGAUUAGAUACCCUAGUAGUC
rnacentral:rRNA from 1 species